rnacentral:lncRNA from 1 species
GGAACUCCGUCCAAGAUUUAAGAGUUGUUAAGCCCGCAGCUCGUUUAGAAGAUUGUGAGCUAGACGAAGUAGGGGUUGGAAUAUUUGGCCUAGCAUGCUCUAAGGCAAGUUGAUAAGCAUUAUAAACUGUUUGAGCAUUAAUUUUAAUUGAUGCUUUUGCAUCUGCAAGUUUAGCAACUUUCUCGUUUGAAAGAUCUAAAGCCUUAUAAAUAUUUGAAUACCAAAAAUGAGGACCUCCCAAUUACAUUGUACGAUUUAACAUUGCAGCAACACCAAAAAUAGGAG